GAUGAAGAACGUAGCGAAAUGCGAUAAGUAAUGUGAAUUGCAGAAUUCAGUGAAUCAUCGAAUCUUUGAACGCACAUUGCGCCCGCCAGUAUUCUGGCGGGCAUGCCUGUUCGAGCGUCAUUACAACCCUCAGGCCCCCGGGCCUGGCGUUGGGGAUCGGCGGAGCCCCCCGUGGGCACACGCCGUCCCCCAAAUGCAGUGGCGGUCCCGCCGCAGCUUCCAUCGCGUAGUAGCUGACACCUCGCGACUGGAGAGCGGCGCGGCCACGCCGUAAAACACCCAACUCUUCUGAAGUUGACCUCGAAUCAGGUAGGAAUACCCGCUGAACUUAAGCAUAUCAAUAAGCGGAGGA
rnacentral:misc_RNA from 1 species